rnacentral:tRNA from 1 species
GCUUGUAGCUCAGUGGAUAGAGCGACGGCCUCCUAAGCCGUAGGUCGGCAGUUCGAAUCUGCCC